rnacentral:snoRNA from 1 species
UAAAAUGAUGAUCCUCCACUGAUAGGAAUUGCCGUCUGAUCGAUAUUUGACGCCAUUCAUGUGUCUGACA